rnacentral:rRNA from 1 species
GCUAACUCCGUGCCAGCAGCCGCGGUAAUACGGAGGGGGCUAGCGUUGUUCGGAAUUACUGGGCGUAAAGCGCACGUAGGCGGAUUGGAAAGUUGGGGGUGAAAUCCCGGGGCUCAACCCCGGAACUGCCUCCAAAACUAUCAGUCUAGAGUUCGAGAGAGGUGAGUGGAAUUCCGAGUGUAGAGGUGAAAUUCGUAGAUAUUCGGAGGAACACCAGUGGCGAAGGCGGCUCACUGGCUCGAUACUGACGCUGAGGUGCGAAAGCGUGGGGAGCAAACAGGAUUAGAUACCCUAGUAGUC